rnacentral:rRNA from 1 species
AAUCAACGCUGGCGGCGUGCCUCAGACAUGCAAGUCGAACGAUUAAAGCUCUCUUCGGAGAGUGUAUAGAGUGGCGCACGGGUGAGUAACACGUAAGUAAUCUACCCUCGAGUGGGGAAUAACAACCGGAAACGGUUGCUAAUACCGCAUAAUGCAGCGGCACCGCAAGGUGACAGUUGUUAAAGAUUUAUCGCUUGAGGAGGAGCUUGCGGCAGAUUAGCUAGUUGGUAGGGUAACGGCUUACCAAGGCUACGAUCUGUAACCGGUCUAAGAGGACGGUCGGUCACACUGACACUGAAUAACGGGUCAGACUCCUACGGGAGGCAGCAGUCGGGAAUUUUGGGCAAUGGGCGAAAGCCUGACCCAGCAACGCCGCGUGAAGGAUGAAGUAUUUCGGUAUGUAAACUUCGAAAGAAUAGGAAGAAUUAAUGACGGUACUAUUUAUAAGGUCCGGCUAACUACGUGCCAGCAGCCGCGGUAAAGUCGAUAUCCG